rnacentral:rRNA from 1 species
CCUACGGGAGGCAGCAGUGGGGAAUAUUGGACAAUGGGCGCAAGCCUGAUCCAGCCAUGCCGCGUGAGUGAUGAAGGCCUUAGGGUUGUAAAGCUCUUUCACCGGAGAAGAUAAUGACGGUAUCCGGAGAAGAAGCCCCGGCUAACUUCGUGCCAGCAGCCGCGGUAAUA